rnacentral:tRNA from 1 species
AAAGUUUUAGUUUAAAAAAAAUAUUUCAUUUACAUUGAAAAGAUUUUAUGGUAGGUAAAAAAUUUUU